rnacentral:tRNA from 1 species
CGGGGUGUAGCGCAGUCUGGUAGCGCGCCUGGUUUGGGACCAGGAUGUCGGCGGUUCGAAUCCGUCCACCCCGACCA